CCACAUCAGCGCACACGUACAGGGCGAGAACGAGCGAGAGACGUGCACGCACGUGUGCGCGCUGCCCGUCUCUCUGCGCGUGUAGUGCACCCCCCCCCUUCUGCUUCCCCCUCCCCUCAUCUCCCUCCCUUCCCCUGUUCUUCGGGGGAGGGGGGAUCGAUAGUGUGACAAGGGGUGCCCUCUUUGAUCCCGCCUCCACCACAACCCCACCACGACGGCGUUUCCAUCCCUCGCAGACACGCUCACGGCGGUGUCUCCUCCUCCUCGGCUCCUUCAUCAGCUCGCCGCUCUCCUCUCCCUCGCUUCCCCCCUCCCCCUUCCCCGCAUCCUCACCCCACCCAACCGACCACCACAUCUCUCUCUCUCUGUGUCUCCCUCCGCAUACACGUAGACAUACACACAGUCACGCACACACACACGUGUAGCUCAGCCGCGAGAAAGACAAAGAGGCGAAGGCGCCAUGUUGAUGCUUAUAUUUGGCACCUUCAUUGGUGCCAUUGCCCUGGUUGGGACCUUCAUGUACAUCGUCAUCAUGGGCCCGACUAGAUAUCACCGCGACGGCGUCGUCGGCAAGCUCCAUCGCCUCCUCACCAGCGUCCCGCUGUGCGUGUGCGGGUUCUGUGUGAGUUGCUGCUUUGGUUGUGAUCAGCGCAAGGGCCGGCUGUGCUGCAGUCGUUGUGCAAAACACACAAUCCACGAGCGUAACUGGUUCAUGGUCAUCUUUUACGUUGUCCUCGUGUGGACGGUGGAGGGUCUGUACCUGCUCGUCUCCCUGCCGCGGCUCAAGGCAUCCAUCACGUCGAAGGCAGUGUCGUGGGUUCUCGUCGUGCUCUCCGAGUUCCUGUGGGCCUGCGCCACUUUCUCCGACCCGGGCACCGUGACGGCGGAAGCCGAUAGGGCGGCGCAGCGGCAGCAAUUUGCGACCAAAGCUGCCACCGGCGCCAAGAAGAGGCUCUUGUCGCGUGAAACAGCAAAGAGCAGGGCGGGUAUCGCCGGUCAGGGCACGACACCGGGCAACUCCAAAUCCCGCCGGUCCUUCCUUUUCUCACCCGCGGAGGAGUUCGUGCUGAACCACCGGUAUAUUGUGGACGGCAUGGUGUACGCCAUUGCCUCCGAUGAGGCAGCCGCGCAGCUCACGAGGGCGCAAAAGGAGUACACAAGCCCGACUGUGGGACAGCCCGUCCAGCUAGGCCAGAGCUGCACCACCUGCCAUGUUUCUCGGCCCAGCCGCAGCAAGCACUGCCGUCUGUGUCAUCGGUGCGUGCGCCGGUACGACCAUCACUGCCCGUGGAUCAACAACGACGUGGCAGAGCGGACAACGCGCUAUUUCCUCGGCUUCCUUCUGUGCCACGCCAUGUCCUGCACUUGGGCCUGCAUCGACCUCUUCCGCAACACUCGCCAGUUUCUCGUGACACACCACGCGUGGGGGUGGGUGCUGCGAUACCCGAACGGCCGCACCGUCCCGCUGAACCUCUCCCAAUACCUGGCGAUCCUCGUCAACUUCCACUUGCUUGAGGCGUGUCUCUUCUUCUUCGCCUUCUUCAUCGGCCUCGUGCUGUACGCGUUCUGGGGCUAUCAGAUGACCUUUGCGGUGGCGAACCUGACAGUCAACGACCUCAACAAGAUCGACGACACAGUGGAGUUUGUGGUGACGCUGCCGACGCUGGAUUUGGUAUACCGUGAGUCACGCAAGGUGCGCGAGCGCCUCGAACAAGUAGCCGAGCGUAAGCCCAAGGCCCUUCUGGCGCUUAAGGAGCCCCCGCCACCCAAGACAGAACCCGGGUACGAGGAGGGCGGGAAGGAGAACCUAGCGUACCGCAAGCGUGCUAAGAAGAUGCUCACGGAGGACCUGAAAGGGUUGUACGACCGCGGAGUUUGGCGGAACUUGAUGGAGGUCCUCUUGCCUUCCGCGCCGCUGCGCGACUCGGCCGUCCUUGCCAAGGCCACGGCCUGUGUACUGUAGGGACUGGGCGGCGCUGGCGCUGAUUGCACGAUUCAUGGCGGGAGGUCCUGUGGGGGGGGGGGGUGUACGUGUCCGUCUGAGAGGGAAGGUGCGCAUGCAAGGCACUCGCGCUGACGCCGCGCAGAAAAAAAAAACAAACGAAAAGCACAAAGAGUAUUGCUGCCCGUUGUUAUUGUGAUGUUGGGAUGGAGGUGUAGAAUUGGUUACCAAGACCGUGUCCAGACUUUCCUCUCUACACCGGCCCCCUCCCUCCCGACACACACACACACACGCACACAUUCACGGCUCCAACAAAGCAUCCCCUCCCACCUUCAGGUGCGCGAGUGCGAGGCACAUGCGCACAUGCACGUGAACAUGGAGGUGUGUAUAUAUAUGGAUAUGGAUAUAUAUGUGUGUUGCCCUUUCAACACCAGAACAG
rnacentral:misc_RNA from 1 species